rnacentral:rRNA from 1 species
ACACAUGCAAGUCGAGGGGUGACAGAGAAAAGCUUGCUUUUUUGCUGACGACCGGCGCACGGGUGCGUAACGCGUAUGCAAUCUACCUUUUGCUAAGGGAUAGCCCAGAGAAAUUUGGAUUAAUACCUUAUAGUAUGAUGACUUGGCCUCAAGAUAUCAUUAAAGGUUACGGCAAAAGAUGAGCAUGCGUUCUAUUAGCUAGUUGGUAUGGUAACGGCAUACCAAGGCAACGAUAGAUAGGGGUCCUGAGAGGGAGAUCCCCCACACUGGUACUGAGACACGGACCAGACUCCUACGGGAGGCAGCAGUGAGGAAUAUUGGACAAUGGAGGCAACUCUGAUCCAGCCAUGCCGCGUGCAGGAAGACUGCCCUAUGGGUUGUAAACUGCUUUUAUACAGGAAGAAACACCUCUACGUGUAGAGAUUUGACGGUACUGUAAGA